AGCGAACGCUGGCGGCAGGCUUAACACAUGCAAGUCGAACGGGCAUCUUCGGAUGUCAGCGGCAGACGGGUGAGUAACACGUGGGAACGUACCCUUCGGUUCGGAACAACUCUGGGAAACUGGAGCUAAUACCGGAUACGCCCUUAUGGGGAAAGGUUUACUGCCGAAGGAUCGGCCCGCGUCUGAUUAGCUAGUUGGUGGGGUAACGGCCUACCAAGGCGACGAUCAGUAGCUGGUCUGAGAGGAUGAUCAGCCACACUGGGACUGAGACACGGCCCAGACUCCUACGGGAGGCAGCAGUGGGGAAUAUUGGACAAUGGGCGCAAGCCUGAUCCAGCCAUGCCGCGUGAGUGAUGAAGGCCUUAGGGUUGUAAAGCUCUUUUGUCCGGGACGAUAAUGACGGUACCGGAAGAAUAAGCCCCGGCUAACUUCGU
rnacentral:rRNA from 1 species